rnacentral:rRNA from 1 species
UACGUAGGGUGCGAGCGUUAAUCGGAAUUACUGGGCGUAAAGCGUGCGCAGGCGGUUCGUUGUGUCGGCGGUGAAAGCCCCGGGCUCAACCUGGGAAUGGCCGUUGAAACUGGCGAACUGGAGUGUGGCAGAGGGGGGUGGAAUUCCGCGUGUAGCAGUGAAAUGCGUAGAGAUGCGGAGGAACACCGAUGGCGAAGGCAGCCCCCUGGGUUAACACUGACGCUCAGGCACGAAAGCGUGGGGAGCAAACAGG